rfam:TPA: Bos taurus chromosome 14, whole genome shotgun sequence.
UCCCUGAUAGUCCAUUGGUUAGGACUUGGCACUUUCAUUGCUGGGGCCCAAGUUCAAGUCCUGAUCAGGGAA